GGUUUGAUUGGGCUCAGAUUGGAACGCUGGCGGGAUGUUUACACAUGCAAGUCGAACGGCAGCACGGACUUCGGUCUGGCGGGCAGAGUGGCGAACGGGUGAGUAAUGUAUCGGAACGCCUAGUAGCGGGGAUAACUACGCGAAAGCGCGAAUACCGCAUACGCCCUUCGGGGGAAAGCGGGGACCUUCGGGCCUCGCACUAUUAGAGCGGCCGAUAUCGGAUUAGCUUGUUGGUAACGGCCUUCGGUGGCGACGGAUCCCUUCAGGAACGAAAUUGAGAGGACGCUGAUCCUGCUUAUUCACCGACGAUGAUACGGUCCUGUGACUCUACGCGGCGCAAAUUUUUGGGAUUAAAUGGGGAAACCCUGAUCCAGCCAUCCCGCGUGUGCGAUGAAGGCCUCGCUGUGUGUUAAUCUUGGCAGGAAGAAAAACCUGCACGAUACCCUGUGCAACCGACGGUACUCCGGAGAAUAAGCACCGGCUAACUGACGUGCCAGCAGCCGCGGUAAUACGUAGGGCAAGCGUGUUAAUCGGAAUUACCGGGCGUGAAGCGUGCGCAGGCGGUUCGGAAAGAAAGAUGUGGAAAAUCCAGAGCUAACUUGAACCGCAUUUUUUAACUGGCCGAGCUAGAGUGUGUCAGAGGGAGGUGGAAUUCCGCGUGUAGCAGAAUGCGUAGAUAUGCGGAGGAACACCGAUGGCGAAGGCAGCCUCCCUGGGAUAACACUGACGCUCAUGCAUCGCAGCGUGGGAGCAAACAGAUUGACGAUGAAUGCCCUGGUAGUCCACGCCUCAAACGAUGUCAACUACGUUGGGGCCUUCGGCCUUGGUAGCGCAGAAUAUUUAUGCGUAGUUGACCGCCUGGGGAGUACGGUCGCGGUAAGAUUAAAACUCAAAGGAAUUGACGGGGACCCGCACAAGCGGUGGAUGAUGUAAGGGAUUAAUUCGAUGCAACGCGAAAAACCUUACCUACCCUGAUAUGUCUGAAUCCCGAAAGAUCGGGAGUGCUCGCAAGAGAACCGGAACACAGGUGCUGCAUGGCUGUCGUCAGCUCGUGUCGAGAUGUUGGGUUAAGUCCUGCAACGAGCGCAACCCUUGUCAUUAGUUGCUUACUUUGAGCGGCACUCUAAUGAGACUGCCGGUGACAAACCGGAGGAAGAAGGUGAUGACGUCAAGUCCUCAUGGCCCUUGCGGGUAGGGCUUCACACGUCAUACAAUGGUCGGGACAGAGGGUCGCCAACUCAUGAGGGGGAGCCAAUCCCAGAAACCCGAUCGUAGUCCGGAUCGCAGUCUGCAACCUUCUGACUGCGUGAAGUCGGAAUCGCUAGUACUCUGGCGGAUCAGCAUGUCGCGGUGAAUACGUUCCCGGGUCUUGUACACACCGCCCGUCACACCGUGGGAGUGGGU
rnacentral:rRNA from 1 species